rnacentral:rRNA from 1 species
CAGCCGCCACGGGAAUACAGAGGGUGCGAGCGUUAAUCGGAUUUACUGGGCGUAAAGCGUGCGUAGGCGGCUUCUUAAGUCGGAUGUGAAAUCCCUGAGCUUAACUUAGGAAUUGCAUUCGAUACUGGGAAGCUAGAGUAUGGGAGAGGAUGGUAGAAUUCCAGGUGUAGCGGUGAAAUGCGUAGAGAUCUGGAGGAAUACCGAUGGCGAAGGCAGCCAUCUGGCCUAAUACUGACGCUGAGGUACGAAAGCAUGGGGAGCAAACAGGAUUAGAUACCCCUGUAGUCCAUGUCUCUUAUAC